CAAUGCGAUCUACUGGGGAAAACAUCUUACUCUGCUGAAGAUCAACCCUGCAGAAGAAACAUGAACUUCGUUGGAGAAAACAGAAACAUCGCCGGGUAAAUAACAUGCCGCAAGGUACUGAAUCAACCAACUCAGUUAGGGAAAAGGAUCGGAACUCUGCUAGGGAACAAACACUCCGUAGGGGAACCGGAUCAACACAGACAACUAGGGACACCCGAAGGGUUAACUGUUUGGGGGACCUCUGAUGUUUCACACUUAAGGACUUGAUGCUCUUUGAAGUGUU
rnacentral:lncRNA from 1 species